UCGAUUCCCUUAGUAGCGGCGAGCGAAACGGGAAGAGCCCAAACCAACAAGCUUGCUUGUUGGGGUUGUAGGACACUCUAUACGGAGUUACAAAGGACGACAUUAGACGAAUCAUCUGGAAAGAUGAAUCAAAGAAGGUAAUAAUCCUGUAGUCGAAAAUGUUGUCUCUCUUGAGUGGAUCCUGAGUACGACGGAGCACGUGAAAUUCCGUCGGAAUCUGGGAGGACCAUCUCCUAAGGCUAAAUACUCUCUAGUGACCGAUAGUGAACCAGUACCGUGAGGGAAAGGUGAAAAGCACCCCGGAAGGGGAGUGAAAUAGAACCUGAAACCGUGUGCUUACAAGUAGUCAGAGCCCGUUAAUGGGUGAUGGCGUGCCUUUUGUAGAAUGAACCGGCGAGUUACGAUUUGAUGCAAGGUUAAGCAGUAAAUGUGGAGCCGUAGCGAAAGCGAGUCUGAAUAGGGCGUUUAGUAUUUGGUCGUAGACCCGAAACCAGGUGAUCUACCCUUGGUCAGGUUGAAGUUCAGGUAACACUGAAUGGAGGACCGAACCGACUUACGUUGAAAAGUGAGCGGAUGAACUGAGGGUAGCGGAGAAAUUCCAAUCGAACCUGGAGAUAGCUGGUUCUCUCCGAAAUAGCUUUAGGGCUAGCCUCAAGUGAUGAUUAUUGGAGGUAGAGCACUGUUUGGACGAGGGGCCCCUCUCGGGUUACCGAAUUCAGACAAACUCCGAAUGCCAAUUAAUUUAACUUGGGAGUCAGAACAUGGGUGAUAAGGUCCGUGUUCGAAAGGGAAACAGCCCAGACCACCAGCUAAGGUCCCAAAAUAUAUGUUAAGUGGAAAAGGAUGUGGCGUUGCCCAGACAACUAGGAUGUUGGCUUAGAAGCAGCCAUCAUUUAAAGAGUGCGUAAUAGCUCACUAGUCGAGUGACACUGCGCCGAAAAUGUACCGGGGCUAAACAUAUUACCGAAGCUGUGGAUUGUCCUUUGGACAAUGGUAGGAGAGCGUUCUAAGGGCGUUGAAGCAUGAUCGUAAGGACAUGUGGAGCGCUUAGAAGUGAGAAUGCCGGUGUGAGUAGCGAAAGACGGGUGAGAAUCCCGUCCACCGAUUGACUAAGGUUUCCAGAGGAAGGCUCGUCCGCUCUGGGUUAGUCGGGUCCUAAGCUGAGGCCGACAGGCGUAGGCGAUGGAUAACAGGUUGAUAUUCCUGUACCACCUAUAAUCGUUUUAAUCGAUGGGGGGACGCAGUAGGAUAGGCGAAGCGUGCGAUUGGAUUGCACGUCUAAGCAGUAAGGCUGAGUAUUAGGCAAAUCCGGUACUCGUUAAGGCUGAGCUGUGAUGGGGAGAAGACAUUGUGUCUUCGAGUCGUUGAUUUCACACUGCCGAGAAAAGCCUCUAGAUAGAAAAUAGGUGCCCGUACCGCAAACCGACACAGGUAGUCAAGAUGAGAAUUCUAAGGUGAGCGAGCGAACUCUCGUUAAGGAACUCGGCAAAAUGACCCCGUAACUUCGGGAGAAGGGGUGCUCUUUAGGGUUAACGCCCAGAAGAGCCGCAGUGAAUAGGCCCAAGCGACUGUUUAUCAAAAACACAGGUCUCUGCUAAACCGUAAGGUGAUGUAUAGGGGCUGACGCCUGCCCGGUGCUGGAAGGUUAAGAGGAGUGGUUAGCUUCUGCGAAGCUACGAAUCGAAGCCCCAGUAAACGGCGGCCGUAACUAUAACGGUCCUAAGGUAGCGAAAUUCCUUGUCGGGUAAGUUCCGACCCGCACGAAAGGCGUAACGAUUUGGGCACUGUCUCAACGAGAGACUCGGUGAAAUCAUAGUACCUGUGAAGAUGCAGGUUACCCGCGACAGGACGGAAAGACCCCGUGGAGCUUUACUGUAGCCUGAUAUUGAAAUUCGGCACAGCUUGUACAGGAUAGGUAGGAGCCUUUGAAACGUGAGCGCUAGCUUACGUGGAGGCGCUGGUGGGAUACUACCCUAGCUGUGUUGGCUUUCUAACCCGCACCACUUAUCGUGGUGGGAGACAGUGUCAGGCGGGCAGUUUGACUGGGGCGGUCGCCUCCUAAAAGGUAACGGAGGCGCUCAAAGGUUCCCUCAGAAUGGUUGGAAAUCAUUCAUAGAGUGUAAAGGCAUAAGGGAGCUUGACUGCGAGACCUACAAGUCGAGCAGGGUCGAAAGACGGACUUAGUGAUCCGGUGGUUCCGCAUGGAAGGGCCAUCGCUCAACGGAUAAAAGCUACCCCGGGGAUAACAGGCUUAUCUCCCCCAAGAGUUCACAUCGACGGGGAGGUUUGGCACCUCGAUGUCGGCUCAUCGCAUCCUGGGGCUGUAGUCGGUCCCAAGGGUUGGGCUGUUCGCCCAUUAAAGCGGUACGCGAGCUGGGUUCAGAACGUCGUGAGACAGUUCGGUCCCUAUCCGUCGUGGGCGUAGGAAAUUUGAGAGGAGCUGUCCUUAGUACGAGAGGACCGGGAUGGACAUACCUCUGGUGUACCAGUUGUCGUGCCAACGGCAUAGCUGGGUAGCUAUGUGUGGACGGGAUAAGUGCUGAAAGCAUCUAAGCAUGAAGCCCCCCUCAAGAUGAGAUUUCCCA
rnacentral:rRNA from 1 species